CCUCUUAUUGACUGUGAAUUAGUCAGUUACAUCUUGGUUGGCCUUGGGUCUGAUGUGACCCAGUCAUCACUUCUCUCACCAAUAGGUUGGAGCCUAUGAACCUUUAGGAGAUUUAUAGCCAUUUACUCCAUUAUGAGC